GAUGAACGCUGGCGGCGUGCCUAAUACAUGCAAGUCGAGCGAACGGACGAGAAGCUUGCUUCUCUGAUGUUAGCGGCGGACGGGUGAGUAACACGUGGAUAACCUACCUAUAAGACUGGGAUAACUUCGGGAAACCGGAGCUAAUACCGGAUAAUAUUUUGAACCGCAUGGUUCAAAAGUGAAAGACGGUCUUGCUGUCACUUAUAGAUGGAUCCGCGCUGCAUUAGCUAGUUGGUAAGGUAACGGCUUACCAAGGCAACGAUGCAUAGCCGACCUGAGAGGGUGAUCGGCCACACUGGAACUGGGCCACGGUCCAGACUCCUACGGGAGGCAGCAGUAGGGAAUCUUCCGCGAUGGGCGAAAGCCUGACGGAGCAACGCCGCGUGAGUGAUGAAGGUCUUCGGAUCGUAAAACUCUGUUAUUAGGGAAGAACAUAUGUGUAAGUAACUGUGCACAUAUUGACGGUACCUAAUCAGAAAGCCACGGCUAACUCCGUG
rnacentral:rRNA from 1 species